rnacentral:lncRNA from 1 species
AUUUUGAGUAACAUAAAAUUCAGAAUAGCUGACAUUUUUUCCUUUAUUACACAUAAAAGAAAUCUAGAUAGUCUAGGGUUGGCCAUGGCCCCAGACAGCCUCAGGAACCCUGUCUCCUUCUGUUGCAUUGUUCUACCCUCCACAGCUUGUAGCUUCCACAUCCAUGUCCAAGAUGGCUGCUCCAGUUUCAGCCACUACAAACGCAUAACACCGGCAAGAACAAGGAAGGACAGCAGAAGGACAUAUGCACUCUCCUUUCCAAUGACACUUCCAAGGAGUUGCACAUACUACCUAUGCUUUCAUAUCAUUGUCCAGAACCUCAUCACUUGGCACAGCUGCAAGGAAGACUGGCCAGAGAUGCUUGCUGCGCAGCAGUGGUUCAGAAGUGUUUUAAUGAACUAAGAAGGACUGAUUUUCCAUCUGGCCUAACCAGAGUCUGAAGUUGCUGAAUCAAACAGAGCCAAUAGGUCGGACUUGAGCUGACUGGAGCAUGCACAGAGCUGGGAAGCACAACUUACCCUGUAUUUCAUGCAAUACAAAGGAAGAUGGCUGUUUGGGGUUGCCGUGUCUCUUAGCAAUUAAGGAGAUGGCUACAGCCAAGCAGUGUGAAGUGACAGCACCAGAAAGUUUUCUACACCAGAGGCUGAGAACAGGGGCUGUGCAGUCAUAUUCAAUAUUGAGUCCCCAACCCUAACCCGGACCUGGCACAUACAAGACAUUCAGCAGAUGGCUAUUGAAUGAAAAUAUAUAAAUGAAUCAACGAUUACCAGCUGCCUCCACUCCCUUAACCUGCUACAGAAUUAAUAAACUAAUCUUGAGCAUAGUGGAUAUAUAAAAAUAAAAGUAUCGUUGAGGACUGUCA